UAGGGAAUCUUCGGCAAUGGACGAAAGUCUGACCGAGCAACGCCGCGUGAGUGAAGAAGGUUUUCGGAUCGUAAAACUCUGUUGUUAGAGAAGAACAAGGACGUUAGUAACUGAACGUCCCCUGACGGUAUCUAACCAGAAAGCCACGGCUAACUACGUGCCAGCAGCCGCGGUAAUACGUAGGUGGCAAGCGUUGUCCGGAUUUAUUGGACGUAAAGCGAGCGCAGGCGGUUUCUUAAGUCUGAUGUGAAAGCCCCCGGCUCAACCGGGGAUGGUCAUUGGAAACUGGGAGACUUGAGUGCAGAAGAGGAGAGUGGAAUUCCAUGUGUAGCGGUGAAAUGCGUAGAUAUAUGGAGGAACACCAGUGGCGAAGGCGGCUCUCUGGUCUGUAACUGACGCUGAGGCUCGAAAGCGUGGGGAGCAAACAGG
rnacentral:rRNA from 1 species